GUGGACGGGCACGUGAAGACGCUGCCAAUCAGUCUUCUCUGUAGACUAGCAGAGUGGACAAUAAUACUCUCACAUGAAGCCUGGUAUGGGGUCAUGCUGCUGUUGAGUUCUCUAGUUUGUAUUUUCUGUACCGCUGGUGAGGAAAGAUGGAUGGAACGUAGGCUAGUUUCUCAACCUGCUGUGGGAUCAUUAGUGUUUGACGAAUUCCUGUAUUUCACUCAAGAAUAGAAACCGCUUAACGGAGCAACAAACUCCAAAAGGCUCUGGCUUGGGGGUAGAAUCUGUUCAGCAGUCUGAUGGCUUAGGGAUAGAAUCUGUUCAGCAGUCUGAUGGCUUGGGGGUAGAAUCUGUUCAGCAGUCUGAUGGCUUAGGGAUAGAAUCUGUUCAGCAGUCUGAUGGCUUAGGGAUAGAAUCUGUUCAGCAGUCUGAUGGCUUGGGGGUAGAAUCUGUUCAGCAGUCUGAUGGCUUGGGGAUAGAAUCUGUUCAGCAGUCUGAUGGCUUGGGGGUAGAAUCUGUUCAGCAGUCUGAUGGCUUGGGGAUAGAAUCUGUUCAGCAGUCUGAUGGCUUGGGGAUAGAGCUGUUCAGCAGUUUGAUGGCUUGGGGGUAGAAGCUGUUCAGGAGUCUGAUGGCUUGGGGAUAGAAGCUGUUCAACAGUCUGAUGGCUUGGGGGUAGAAGCUGUUCAGCAGUCUGAUGGCUUGGGGAUAGAAGCUGUCAGCUGGUCUCUUCCUGUGUAUGGGGUAGAGGUCAGUCGGUCUCUUCCUGGGUAUGGGGUAGAGAGGUCAGCCGGUCUCUUCCUGGGUAUGGGGUAGAGAGGUCAGCCGGUCUCUUCCUGGGUAUGGGGUAGAGAGGUCAGCCGGUCUCUUCCUGUGUAUGGGGUAGAGAGGUCAGCCGGUCUCUUCCUGGGUAUGGGGUAGAGAGGUCAGUCGGUCUCUUCCUGGGUAUGGGGUAGAGAGGUCAGUCGGUCUCUUCCUGGGUAUGGGGUAGAGGUCAGCCGGUCUCUUCCUGGGUAUGGGGUAGAGAGGUCAGCCAGUCAGUCAUUGAGUCAUACUCCUAUCAGGGAAUCUUAAAAUAGCUGUGACGUGAUUGAGACAGGACUUAUCCAAGCGGAUGGGCUGAGGCUGUCCUCUUCUCUACAGACACAAGAUGGAGAGAGGUCAUUACAUCUUCUCUGUAUCCUCGGCUUCAUCAUUCAAACUCGGCUUCAUCAUUCAAACUCGGCUUCAUCAUUCAAACUUGGCUUCAUCAUUCAAACUCGGCUACAUCAUUCAAACUCGGCUACAUCGUCCAUUGAAUCAAGAUGGCUCAUUCAUCACAAAACCCAACUACUUUUAAUACUUUGUUCAUUGGCAAGAUUGAUACAUUUAGGCAUGCCGUGCCAACGAUACAUUCUGAACCUACACAUUCAUGUAAUACUGACCAAAUUAUGACAAAAGCAUUGUAAUUUUGAAUUCCAUAAAGUUGAGUGUGGAAGAGGUCAAAAAAAAUAUUAUUUUCUUUCAACAAUGACAAGCCACCGG
ensembl:lncRNA